rnacentral:rRNA from 1 species
UACGUAGGGGGCGAGCGUUGUCCGGAAUCAUUGGGCGUAAAGCGUGCGCAGGCGGCUCCUUAAGUCAGAUGUGAAAGCCCCGGGCUUAACCUGGGAACUGCGUUUGAAACUGGGGAGCUGGAGUGUAGAAGAGGGGGGUGGAAUUCCAGGUGUAGCAGUGAAAUGCGUAGAUAUCUGGAGGAACACCGAUGGCGAAGGCAGCCCCCUGGGCUAACACUGACGCUCAUGCACGAAAGCGUGGGGAGCAAACAGG